rnacentral:misc_RNA from 1 species
GAACGCACCUUGCGCCCUUUGGCCAUUCCGAAGGGCAUGCCUGUUUGAGUAUCAUGAACACCUCAACUCUCAUGGCUCGCCAUGAUGAGCUUGGAUUUGGGGGUCUUGCUGGCCUGUGGUCAGCUCCUCUCAAAUGGAUCAGCUUGCCAGUGUUUGGUGGCAUCACAAGUGUGAUAACUAUCUGCGCUUGUGGUUUUCCAUCAGAUAACCUUCAGUGAUGGAGGUUCGCUGGAGCUCAUAAACGUCUCCCUUAAGCGGGGACAGCCCUUUGAAUGUUUGAUCUCAAAUCAGGUAGGACUACCCGCGGAACUUA